AAUCCAUAGGUUAAUGAGGCGAACCGGGGGAACUGAAACAUCUAAGUACCCCGAGGAAAAGAAAUCAACCGAGAUUCCCCCAGUAGCGGCGAGCGAACGGGGAGGAGCCCAGAGCCUGAAUCAGCAUGUGUGUUAGUGGAAGCGUCUGGAAAGGCGCGCGAUACAGGGUGACAGCCCCGUACACAAAAGCGCAUGUGCUGUGAGCUCGAUGAGUAGGGCGGGACACGUGGUAUCCUGUCUGAAUAUGGGGGGACCAUCCUCCAAGGCUAAAUACUCCUGACUGACCGAUAGUGAACCAGUACCGUGAGGGAAAGGCGAAAAGAACCCCGGCGAGGGGAGUGAAAAAGAACCUGAAACCGUGUACGUACAAGCAGUGGGAGCACCCUUUUGGGUGUGACUGCGUACCUUUUGUAUAAUGGGUCAGCGACUUAUAUUCUGUAGCAAGGUUAACCGUAUAGGGGAGCCGUAGGGAAACCGAGUCUUAAU
rnacentral:rRNA from 1 species